rnacentral:rRNA from 1 species
GCGGUUACACUUGUUCUUCAAUUCAAAAUUUUUAAAUAAAAGAUAUUAAGUUAUUUUGUCCAAUAACAAAAUUAACAGGUUUAAUUUUAGAAAUUAUUGUUUAAACUGGAUUAGCACCCAAGUAAGUAAAUUAAUUAAUUAAGGUAACACCUAAACUAAAUGGCCGUAUUAUUUUUAAAGCAGAGAAACUUGAAAUUUAGAAAAUCCACUUUAUUAUUAAUCUUAUAAAGGUUUAAGUAUGGCUGUCUAAAAAUAAGUUUUUAUUUAGAUUUAUAGUCAAGCAACAUUUAACUUAUAAGGAGAUUUUGAGUUGCAAUAAAUAAAUUAUCAUAGGUUAUAAAAGUCAGGAUUUGCAAGUAAAAUAAUUUGUGAAAUAAGUAUAAGUAGA